rnacentral:rRNA from 1 species
AUUGAACGCCGGCGGCAGGCCUAACACAUGCAAGUCGAGCGGAUGAAGGGAGCUUGCUCCUGGAUUCAGCGGCGGACGGGUGAGUAAUGCCUAGGAAUCUGCCUGGUAGUGGGGGAUAACGUCCGGAAACGGGCGCUAAUACCGCAUACGUUCUUAUGGAGAACGUGGGGGAUCUUCGGACCUCGCGCUAUCAGAUGAGCCUAGGUCGGAUUAGCUAGUUGGGGGGGUAAAGGCCUACCAAGGCGACGAUCCGUAACUGGUCUGAGAGGAUGAUCAGUCACACUGGAACUGAGACACGGUCCAGACUCCUACGGGAGGCAGCAGUGGGGAAUAUUGGACAAUGGGCGAAAGCCUGAUCCAGCCAUGCCGCGUGUGUGAAGAAGGUCUUCGGAUUGUAAAGCACUUUAAGUUGGGAGGAAGGGCAGUAAGUUAAUACCUUGCUGUUUUGACGGUACCAACAGAAUAAGCACCGGCUAACUUCGUG